AGGUCAGGAGUGUGGUGGAGCCAGCAGGGGGGCAGUGAUCAACAGUCUGGGGGCUCCCCUGCCGGGGGCUCUGGGAUUACGGCUAAACCCUGGCCUGCCAGAUGGACACAACGCGUCCUCAACAUCACACACAAGCACCUUUUAGGACUUCGCUUGCCCAGUCCUCCUCUGUGGAAACGAGAGCGGUGGCAGGAGACAUGACUGAGAUGAAGGAACUCUUCCAAGUGUCGGCUCACGGACAAUGUGGCCAGUCAGCAGGUUCCAGGGUUGUCGAAAAAUGGAACUCGCAGGUUGUUUUGAUGUGCUGUAAUGGCAGAGCCACGGGCAACACUGACAUGAUGGAGUCUGUGCAGCCUCAAACCAGCACCUUUUCACCAGAACCGGGGACAGAGACCAGAGCCGGGGACAGAGGCGCUGGGCAGCGCCCGCUGCUCGACAACAACACGCAGGAGGGAUUAAUGCCGCGUCUGUUGGUCCCAUAUGCUCCUCGGCGCUGCUCUGCUCUUGAUUAAAAACUCAUUGUAUGUAUGAAGUAUGUCGUGGAGGCCGGAUUGUCUAAUCCUCCUCGUGACUUGUGCACUUUGAAAACACGAGGUUACAAUAACAAGCGGGGCGAGGCCAUCGUGUCCGUGCGCACUGGUUUGGAGCAGGAGUCUCACACUCAGUCACGUGGAAAACUAAUAAUUUAUGAAGAUAUUCGACAUGAUUUCAAAAUAAAAGUGUUUGUUUGUGAUAUGGAACGAUAAAUACUUUAUAUUAUAAACCUAUUUAUGAUGCAAAAAUGAAUACAGUAAUGAAAAACAUGCAGGAAUAACUUGGUAUUUAGUCGUGGGCCGCAUGUGGAGCGCGAGUUUGAGACCUCUUGAUUAGAGCAUUAUCGAUGAGGAAGGUGACAAAUAGGACUGUAGCAAUUAAUCGAUGAAGUAAUUAUGACUAAGGAGCAAAGAAAAAUGUUAUUUUCCCCGACUGUUCUGUUCUAUUCUAUUCUAUUCUAUUCUAUUCCAUUCCGUGAUAUAAAUUCACCACCCGAGCAAUUUUGAUAAUGAUUAAUCCACUUUUAAUCGACAGCAAAAUUAAUUCAACAAUUUUUUUGGAGUAAUUGGUCAGUUUGAGUGCUUUUUCUUUUUAAUUGAACCUUUUUCUUCGUUUGUUUUCCCAACUUAAAUCAAAUGUGAAUAUGUUCUAUAAUAGUUUCUUUGCUGCUCUGUGACAGAGAAAGCAAAUACUGAUUAUCUUUAGGCAAAACUGUAGCAAAGUGAUUUUGACCAAACAACGUAUAUUAGUUAAUCAAGAAGAAAUUAUGGAUGAUGGGAAAAUUCCUUACAGGCCUAAACUGACAGGUUUUGCACAUCUGCAUAUUAUUUUAUUAUUUACCUGUAGGUGUUAUUUAAGUGUUUUACUGUAGUCUUUUUUUAAAGAAUAACAAAUUUUUGUCCAAAUCGACUGAAAUUAUCCAGAUGAAGACGGUAAGAUAGUAAAAAAAAGAUGUUUGUCCCAGUUUUGUCUCAACUUCAAACUUUAGAGGUGACUCCUCAUCUAUUUGUCUCUCAUUAUAAAUAAGAAUGUGUUUUUUUUUGCUUCAGCUGAAAGUAACCCUGCAGUGUGACACACUCCCCCCAUAACUACAGUCUGGAUGGAGGACACUGGAAGAGGAGACACGCAGCUCAUGAAUAUUCACGCUCUUUGUCCCACAAGUCCAGUCCCCGUCAUUGUUCAUGCUCACGUGAGUGUUGUUAAACUGACCGUUGCGUUUCACCACAAUGGUCAUCGAUGAAUUUAAAAAAAUAUAUAUAAAAGUGGAGGAGUUAAAAGAGCAUAUAAGGUAAAAAACAAACAACCAGCUAUUUAUUCUUCUCUAUUGACUAAGUCAGGGUCUGUAUUGAAAAAUAUUACAGUGGCACACGCGCGCGCGCACACCUGUUUGCGCGAGCAGGCAAUGGAAUCAAAGCCACUCUACUUCUCUUGAACGCUUCGAUUAUUCCAAGCAACGCUUUUAAUUAGUGCGCUCCUUUAGCGGAGGCUGCAAUGUAAGAGAGAUUAUUGGCAAAUGUCAAGGAUGCUAAUUGAAUGUUGGACUUCUAACAAUUAGGCCACUGUGGAGACAUGUCGCCUCAUUACAGGGUCCAGGGCCGCGCUGACGUCACGUCGACCGUUUUAAAAUAGUAAAGAAAUACAUAAAGCGAUCAAAACACAACCCUAGUUAUAUGCCGAUGCGAAAAGUAAAAGGAGAGAAUGCAAAUGAUCCACUUCUUAUAAGUGAGCGCGUGUUUUAAAGGCUUCUCUUCGCUUCACAACACAAAAAUGUCACAUGGACACUAUGGGGUUCAGUUUCGAAUUUAAUGUUGCAAGUUUCCCCCCCACAAUCUUUGUAUUUUCUUUCAGAAAACACGCAGUAAACAUCAAAUCAAUAAAAAGUGGUGCCUGAUUUGUUUGCCUCCUGUUGAAUUAACUGACAUGACAGAUAGAGUUAUAAUCUUUUAAAACAGUUCACAUUUGAACCAAACGUGUUUUAUUGUUUGGGGGCCGAAUAUCGUGAUGUGAUUAAAGGCUUGAUAUUAAAGCGCACAUGUGGGGAUCAGACUUGUUAAAGCCCGUGUGGUUGGCUUUGAAAGGAGACCGCUGCUGCCCCAGAGGGGGGAAGAAAAAAAAAACCCCACCCCGCCGCUAAAAUAUUGGGAUUAACAUCUCUUGGAGGCCGGGAUUAAAACACAAAGCGCCCUCUUUGUUGAAACAACAACCGGAAACUAAGGAGAAAAAAAACCACAAUUAAUUAUAGAAUCAGUAAAAAAUGUGAUCCUACAUGUAAAGAUGUUUUAUUUUUUAUUGUAUUUUAGAACUAAUUUUGUUUUGUUUUUAAGUUAAAACACGGUUUAUUUCAUCUUCACUGAAAUUCAUAGAAGCACGAGGAGACAUUGCCAAUAUAGGCUAUAAUAUAAUCUUAUUGUACUGUUUUUUUUUUCUUCAGUUAAAAUACCCAUACAUAACUGGGUCACCCAUUGUUUCUGUUUUCCACAGUCAAAUCCUAGAUGGUGGAAUUAAAAAAUAAAUAAAUCGAAAUGUUCCCUGAACCCCAAACAAAUCAAAUAAUAAAAAAGAAACCGUCUCUCUGUCUCUCGCGCACACACACUUACACACACACACACACUGAUGAAAGAGUAUAAUCUCACUGCAGGACCUUUAUUCGUGUCUUUUCAGCGGUGAGGUCACACCAUCUUUGGGGCCACAAUCACCGUGUACUGAGAUAAAUGGAGGGAGGGGGAGGAAAAAAAAGCGGAGCUCUCGGC